rnacentral:rRNA from 1 species
UACGAGGGGGGCAAGCGUUGUUCGGAAUCACUGGGCGUAAAGGGCGCGUAGGCGGCGCGGGUAGUCAUCGGUGAAAGUUCAGGGCUCAACUCUGAAUCGGCCGGUGAUACUCCCGUGCUCGAGCACUGUAGAGGCAGGUGGAAUUCCGGGUGUAGCGGUGGAAUGCGUAGAUAUCUGGAGGAACAUCGGUGGCGAAGGCGGCAUCCUGGACCGGUAUUGACGCUGAGGCGCGAAAGCCAGGGGAGCAAACGGG